GAAAGACGCGCAUUUGUUAUCAUCAUCCUGACAACUAAGAUGUUAUUCGGCCACAAUGAAGUGGCCUUUU
rfam:Triticum urartu cultivar G1812 contig10421, whole genome shotgun sequence.